CUAAAAAGAGACUUUUGUCUCGGUGACAUGUGAUUAAAAUUUAUAAUAAGAGAGAGAAAAAUUAUUCAAUAUUACAGUCGCUUAAUAAGAUCGAUCAGUUUAAUGCAAAACUUUUUCCCAAGACUGUUGAGUAAUUUCGAUGCUUUGUCGAUUAUAAUGUUAAUGUAUCCAUGGCGGGAUUAAAGAUGAGAAUUUAUGGUUACGAAGAAAUAUGAGGCUGAAGGGAGUGUAAAGUAACAUAUCCGCUUGCAACUGUGACAAGAAUCGCUAUGAAAUGGAAGGUUUGCUGGAGGGACACUGGAAGGUGGAAGGACACUGCGGUUGACCGACGUGGAGGUUUACGCGAAAUACGCUUGCGCCGUAUUUCCUGAUUAGAAAAGGUUCAACGUCGAGCAACUUGAAUACCGUACGUAUUCGCUAGAUUCGGAGUACGCAGUGCGUUUAUAAAGUUCGCGAUGCCGACUUCGUAAACAGAUCGACUAACUAGAACCACGUGUUAGUGUGUUACUGUGUACGAAGGUGAACGUGCUCAACUGCAUGCGAGAAGACGGCUUUUCCGGCUUUCAGAUAAAUGACGCAAUUUCGUCAAAAAAUUAGUUCGAUUCGACCACUAUGUAUGACAAGAGAUGCGUAUGAGAUGCAUAGAGUUUGCGUAUUGCAAAAAUAUCUCCCGCACGCUCGCACAUGAUAGGUCACGCGUGCACAACGCGCGUGCGUGUAUAAAAAUCCUGGAGCCGGAGUAAUAGGAGUGACGUAUUAAGUAAAGUAUUAAGAUUUCGAGGAGAGGCAAAUGUUGACACACGUCGAUUAAUACUGAUCAAUUAACAAGCGGACAAGAGACGUACGCAACAUUGAUGACGAUCAAAUGUCAGUCAAGGUCAAAGGUCGUUAUAGGUAAAUUCAAGUGUAAAAUAUCAAAUAUUUCUCUCGAAACGGUACGAAAUGAUAUCCAUAAAAAGACAUGGAAUUUUCCCGAGCAGACCAA